UGGGGGCACAACCCGACACUUUAUUGAUAUAUAGUUUUUGUUCAUGUCUAGAAGGCUUUGUUGGAUUACUGUGAACUUAGGUGGUAUUGGCCAGUGGUUGGUUGUUGAUAAUUAAAGUAUUAAUCAUUCUUGAAUCUAUCUUGUUAUAUGUUUGGAAUUCUUCUGACAUGGAGAUUGUUGUGUUUACUUGAUUAUUUACAGGGGGUUGUCUCCGGUCCACGUUGGACUUGAGUUACUCUUUAUAACCAAGCAUUGGUUCAGGUCAUGACAAAGAAUGUAUCAAAGCCUAGGUUUAGUGUCAUUGGGUAUCCAAAAAGGUCGUGUCAAGUAGAUCCUCA
rnacentral:lncRNA from 1 species